CGAUAGAUGUGCAGUGUAAGGCUGGUCUUCAGGGAGACAUUACCCUGGUAGUUCAUCUAUAGAACUGUCCGAUACAUCUCAUGUGGAGUGUCAGGUCUGUCGGGUAGAUACAUUACCCUUGGAGUCAGUUUAAAGACUAGAUACACUAUGAUAAUGUGGAGUGUCAGGUCUGUCAAGGAGAGACAUUACCCCUGGAGUCAGUUUAAAGACUAGAUACACUAUGAUAAUGUGGAGUGGGGUGUCAGGUCUGUCAAGGAGAGACAUUACCCCUGGAGUCACUUUAAAGACUAGAUACACUAUGAUAAUGUGGAGUGUCAGGUCUGUGAAGGAGAGACAUUACCCCUGGAGUCAGUUUAAAGACUAGAUACACUAUGAUAAAGUGGAGUGUCAGGUCUGUCAAGGAGAGACAUUACCCCUGGAGUCACUUUAAAGACUAGAUACACUAUGAUAAUGUGGAGUGGGGUGUCAGGUCUGACAAGGAGAGACAUUACCCCUGGAGUCAGUUUAAAGACUAGAUACACUAUGAUAAUGUGGAGUGUCAGGUCUGUGAAGGAGAGACAUUACCCCUGGAGUCACUUUAAAGACUAGAUACACUAUGAUAAUGUGGAGUGGGGUGUCAGGUCUGACAGGGAGAGACAUUACCCCUGGAGUCACUUUAAAGACUAGAUACACUAUGAUAAUGUGGAGUGGGGUUGACUACAGUAACUUAUAGAUGUAGAGGUGGUCUCCGAGACUCAGGGUUUAGUCUAGUGCUGGACUACAAACCAAGCUCAACAGAGAAUCUACAUUGAAAAUGAUUUUUUAGUCCAUGAUUAAGCUUCACCUGUGUCUGGGAAACAGUCCCCU